AGUGAACGCUGGCGGUAGGCCUAACACAUGCAAGUCGAACGGCAGCACAGUAAGAGCUUGCUCUUACGGGUGGCGAGUGGCGGACGGGUGAGGAAUACAUCGGAAUCUACUUUUUCGUGGGGGAUAACGUAGGGAAACUUACGCUAAUACCGCAUACGACCUACGGGUGAAAGCAGGGGAUCUUCGGACCUUGCGCGAUUGAAUGAGCCGAUGUCGGAUUAGCUAGUUGGCGGGGUAAAGGCCCACAAGGCGACGAUCCGUAGCUGGUCUGAGAGGAUGAUCAGCCACACUGGAACUGAGACACGGUCCAGACUCCUACGGGAGGCAGCAGUGGGGAAUAUUGGACAAUGGGCGCAAGCCUGAUCCAGCCAUACCGCGUGGGUGAAGAAGGCCUUCGGGUUGUAAAGCCCUUUUGUUGGGAAAGAAAAGCAGCGGGUUAAUACCCCGCUGUUCUGACGGUACCCAAAGAAUAAGCACCGGCUAACUUCGUG
rnacentral:rRNA from 1 species